UGUCUCCCCUGAUGACCUGCACUGGGCUCUGAGUCUGCAUGAAGACCAAAGUGCGUCUCUGGCCCUGACAAGCCAGAGUUUCUGAGGAGACA
ensembl:snoRNA